GACGAACGCUGGCGGCGUGCUUAACACAUGCAAGUCGAACGCUGAAGACCUGGCUUUUGUUGGGUUGGAUGAGUGGCGAACGGGUGAGUAACACGUGAGUAACCUGCCCUCUUCUUUGGGAUAACGCCCGGAAACGGGUGCUAAUACUGGAUAUUCACUGAUCUUCGCAUGGGGGUUGGUGGAAAGGUUUGUUCUGGUGGGGGAUGGGCUCGCGGCCUAUCAGCUUGUUGGUGGGGUGAUGGCCUACCAAGGCUUUGACGGGUAGCCGGCCUGAGAGGGUGACCGGUCACAUUGGGACUGAGAUACGGCCCAGACUCCUACGGGAGGCAGCAGUGGGGAAUAUUGCACAAUGGGCGAAAGCCUGAUGCAGCGACGCCGCGUGAGGGAUGGAGGCCUUCGGGUUGUAAACCUCUUUCGCUCAUGGUCAAGCCGCAACUGUGGGUUGUGGUGAGGGUAGUGGGUAAAGAAGCGCCGACUAACUACGUG
rnacentral:rRNA from 1 species